rnacentral:lncRNA from 1 species
CCUAAUCAAAGUGAUGGAGUAGGUAAGGAGGGGACUGUACCAGAAUCCUUAUUGAAACAAGCUGGCGUAAAACCGGUUCACUGAACCUGUCAAACAGGGGCAUUAGUGUUAUUCCUCCUAAACUGUGGAGACUCAAUAUUGAUCCUCCUGAUGGUAGUACUGCUUCAUUUGAUGUUGAUGAGAGAUGGUGGGACCAGGUGGAACUGACUAGACUGGAUCUAUCAUCUAACGAAAUCAAAGAAAUAUCUGAAGAUAUUGAAAACUUUGAUUGUCAGCGCUUGAGGUCCAGUACAAUGAGUUAACAUGUCUACCUAAUAAUGUGAUCAAACUGGAUAAAGUAUCUAAAAUAUUUGCAAGUUAUAAUAAACUACAGUGUUUACCAGUAGACAUUGGUCAAUUGACUAAUUUACAGUCUCUCAAUAUAUCACACAAUUCACUAACUGUUCUACCACAGUCAAUCAAAUUAUGGUACAGUUAGUCUUCAGCCACUUACUAGCACACGCAAUCCUGUCUAUUCAGCACCUGAAGCAGGCAAUCCAAGGGAACAUUCUCCUGCAAUGGAUGUCUUCAGUUAUGGUGUCCUCCUUAUAGAAAUGGCCGUUUGUCAGUUUCCAGACGUAGGAAAGAGAGUGGCUCAGAUUAAAGCUAUCAAGAGGCCGACAUUGAAGAAUCUCGUUAAACGUUGUCUGAUAGAGAACUACAAAGAUCGUCCAACAAUGUCUGACAUUAUAAUUGAAA